CACUGAAAGUUUCUCUGCUUUGGGCCAGCAGGAAAUUCCAGUUGCUUCAUUCACCGGAGCCAGUUAAGCUGCUGAAAUGAAAUGGAUCACCGGAGAGAUCACUAUAUCAGGACAUAGACUUGACUUUCAGGGUUGGAGGAAGCCGGACAAAGAUGAAUGGGAUUCAGAGCCUGAACUCAAGGUCAACGUCUUCUGAAUCACAAAGAGCUGGUGGGUCAGUCUGGGAGAAGAAAGAAAAUUCUGCGCCAAAUGGGAAAACCCUUAAAGUCUGCAUAGUUUUGCUUGUCGGGUUGUUAUGAGGCUCAAAGGAACGGCUGCUGUGAAAAAACAUGCUUUGCAAUUUAUGAAGCACUGGAUAAACAUCAGGAACGGUAUAAAAGCAUGCUGCUUACUCAAGAAAUACUAGUUGAGUGCCUGUGUGUUGGGCACUGGCUAGAGAUAAGGGUCUCCUAUGGACAGAAGUGCGGGCAAGGAGCUUUGUUCCUCCCCGAUGUCACCCUCCCACAGCCCACUUGCUAGCAGGCAAGAGAGGGGUGGAGGCCGGCAGUAAGGCAUGUACUGAACUGGACCUCUGGUGGAAUGGGUCACCCACGCUGGGCUUGACUCUUACCAUCAGGGUCCUGCCAACCCUUCAGUGAGACUUUUUCCGAAGAAUCCCUUUUAAAAUGACCUCAAGCUGACCUUCCUGAUGCAGAUUCCACAUAUGGUAUCUGAGACUCACACAGUGUGGUUGGAAGAUAGCACAGUGACCUCCCAGGCACAGCCCUCUGCCAGCCCUCCACUGGCUGCCCUAGGAUGCUGGCCUUCCUCCGAUGGGAGUCGGGCCCAGUCUGCUGUGAGCCAGGAGAAGCCAGCAAGCUCCCUGCGAGGCCUGGAGGAGCCCUUCUCACUCAGCUUGGUGUUCGAUGCCAGUGCCCCCGCCCAUUGUGGGGUGAGGGUGGGACUCUCAGCACAGCCCUGUCCAAAUAAAUCCUCUAAAGCCCUCUU
rnacentral:lncRNA from 1 species